ACAGAGGGUGCGAGCGUUAAUCGGAAUUACUGGGCGUAAAGCGCAUGCAGAUGGCUUUGUAAGUCGAAUGUGAAAUCCCCGGGCUUAACCUGGGAACGGCACUCGAAACUGCAAGGCUAGAAUGUGGAAGAGGGAAGUGGAAUUCCGGGUGUAGCAGUGAAAUGCGUAGAUAUCCGGAGGAACAUCAGUGGCGAAGGCGACUUCCUGGUCCAACAUUGACAUUCAGAUGCGAAAGCGUGGGGAGCAAACAGG
rnacentral:rRNA from 1 species